rnacentral:lncRNA from 1 species
AGCUAACUAAGCAAAUUCAUUGUAUCAAUUCAUUAUAUAUUGAUUAAAGAGAGAGAAAGUGCAUGUAUGUUGGUCAUUUGUUAUCUAAUUCUCACCCAACUCUCUCUCUCUUCCGAAAUUUACAAGUAUUUUAGUCUCUAACAUGAUCUCAACCAAGCCAAGAUCAGAUCAUGAUGAUCAGAUUCUAAAUCAGAGCUUAAAAGGUAUAAAAACCCCUAAAUCUUGAAAUCCUUAAAUUUGAUGUUAGAUGGUAUGAUUUGUUGUUUAGAAGUGUGUUAUAAGGUGUUAAUAAGUGAUCUGGGUUGAUAGAUCAUAGAUCUAUAACAUCUAGAUGCACGAUUUUGAUGUUUAGAAAAAUCUGGAAAUUUUAAUUUUUAGUCUGAUAGUCAAAUGUCAGUCAUCAUAGAUCUUAGUAUGAUAUGUGUUUUUGUUGUUUAAG